rnacentral:rRNA from 1 species
AUUGAACGCUGGCGGCAUGCCUUACACAUGCAAGUCGAACGGCAGCACGGGUGCUUGCACCUGGUGGCGAGUGGCGAACGGGUGAGUAAUACAUCGGAACGUACCUUAUCGUGGGGGAUAACGCAGCGAAAGCUGUGCUAAUACCGCAUACGCCCUGAGGGAGAAAGCGGGGGAUCGCAAGACCUCGCGCGAUUAGAGCGGCCGAUGCCUGAUUAGCUUGUUGGUGGGGUAAAAGCCCACCAAGGCGACGAUCAGUAGCUGGUCUGAGAGGACGAUCAGCCACACUGGGACUGAGACACGGCCCAGACUCCUACGGGAGGCAGCAGUGGGGAGUUUUGGACAAUGGGGGCAACCCUGAUCCAGCAAUGCCGCGUGAGUGAAGAAGGCCUUCGGGUUGUAAAGCUCUUUUGUCAGGGAAGAAACACCGGCUCUAACACAGUCCGGGAAUGACGGUACCUGAAGAAUAAGCACCGGCUAACUACGUGCCAGCCGCCGCAGUAA